rnacentral:lncRNA from 1 species
CAAUUUCUCGAGCUGAUAUAAGUAGCGAAAAUCAUACAGGUCCUUGUGAUUGCGAAAGUCCUCUGGGACGCCAAAUACUUUCAACUUCUUUAAAUUGGGAAAUAGUCUAAAAAAAGACCCUGUACAAUACCAAGGAUUCAAUUGAUUGAGGCAUUGCAAACUUUUCAAAACCAAUCUGUUCUCUGUAGGCUCAUGACUCUGCAAGUAAUUCCAGCCCAUACACAGCUUCCUCAAUUGUGGCAUUGUCAAAAUUUCCGAUGGUAAUAUGAAAGGAUAAGCACAAUCACGAAACGGAAAGUUAAACUUAAAAGUUUGUAGAUAGCAUAGGCUUGAUAUCGAUAGAGGAAUGUCUAUUAUUGAUGAGGGAACAGCUUUUAACGAUCCUCGAUACUGCUUUAAGCAAGGAUAAAAACACAAAGAUAGGUAUCUCAAAUGAAUUAGAGAAAGUACUCCACUGGGAAAAAUUGGGUAUAUAUUCAAACCAAGAUCUAGUACUCUUACUAGCUUGAAAGACAAUUCCAGUGUGAAGCAUUUCAAUCCACCCAACAUGAUAAUAGAAUGAGCCUCACUGUUACGACACCAAGCCAAUUCUUCCUUCUUAUAGAUACUGAUCCGACUUCGACUCUUAAAGGAACACUGCAUGGAUUGUGCACAUGAAUUUUGAUCACUCUUUCCUCUGAUAACAUUCACAAAAUUCAUGUUUCGAGCUUCCCUCAAACAGAGUUCACGGAUCACAUCAUGCAUUCCACAUCUCUCUAUUUCCCCAUCAAAACUCAAAUUGUGGAUAGAAAUUAGACUUCUAUCUACAAGUUCGUUUAUACAUGUUUCUGCCACCUCUUCUAUGCUUUUUCCUUCUUCUUCAUUCAAAAACCCCUCUACGGCCCAUAACUCAACAAGUGCAUUUACAUAAAUCCGUUCAUCCUCUGCGAAAAUUGCAAAAUACAGAAAACACGGUUUUAGGUGAGAAGGCAAGUGAUGGUAACUCAAAGCCAACACUCUCAUGCAUUUUGCUUCAAGAUCUCUGCUUACCACCGAACUUACAUUCUCCGCAACAUUUUGCCACUCAUCCAAUGUUUUACUGAUUUUGGAGAGAAGUCCAGCAAUCAAAGUAAUUUCUAGAGGUAACCCUCCACAUUUUAAUGCAAUUUGUUUCCCAAUAUUUUCAAAUUCAGGAGAAUAAGAACCUUCUUUUUCAAAGAUCUUUUUGUGUAGUAAAUUCCAACUUUCGUCAAAAUUCAUGAGGCGCAUNNNNNNNNNNNNNNNNNNNNNNNNNNNNNNNNNNNNNNNNNNNNNNNNNNNNNNNNNNNNNNNNNNNNNNNNNNNNNNNNNNNNNNNNNNNNNNNNNNNNNNNNNNNNNNNNNNNNNNNNNNNNNNNNNNNNNNNNNNNNNNNNNNNNNNNNNNNNNNNNNNNNNNNNNNNNNNNNNNNNNNNNNNNNNNNNNNNNNNNNNNNNNNNNNNNNNNNNNNNNNNNNNNNNNNNNNNNNNNNNNNNNNNNNNNNNNNNNNNNNNNNNNNNNNNNNNNNNNNNNNNNNNNNNNNNNNNNNNNNNNNNNNNNNNNNNNNNNNNNNNNNNNNCAUGUUCAGGUAAACUGACAAGUGAGCUAGUUUGUGGUUUUAGAUCUUUCAUGCUGUCCGAUGCUGCCAUCCACUGUUUCACGGUGGAAUCAAUGUAUUCUAGUGCUUGUUCCAAGACGAAAAAAAUCUCCCACAUAGCCCUGCUUCUUUCCUCCAAAUUCUGUGCUAAAAAAACAUUUCUUGAUUCCGAGUCAACCAUAUCUUCUGUUGUGUAUGCUACCUCUGCGAUUUCAACUUCCAAGAUUGUUAACCCCUCAUGAUCGCCCAUUAUAUUGCAGGAUUUCUCCAGAAUAGCUCUCAAAGAUUUGAGCUUUUCAUAAAACGGUUGCAAAUCACAUCCAGUAAGUUCCAUUGAUUGAUGUAUGGUUCUCAUAAGGGAAGUAACAGCAGCAUAAGCCAUAUAUCCAAAAAAUAGAAAUAUCUCUCAGUAUGAAAAUGGACAAAUUGCCACAAGUUAUGUAAUUUUUCAGUUUUUAAGAAAACAGAAAAUGCAAAGUUCUUUCUUUUACUAGCUAUUUCCAUCACAUUUCCAGCUAGGUCCACCAACCUUAUCAUCAUGUAGACAAAAGCAGAGACCAAAGUUAAAAAAAAGUAGAAAAAUUUGUGAUCAUUCAUUAUUAGACCGUACACAUAUCUAUUCAUGAAUAUAAGUAUGCUUCUUACAUACAAGAGAUUGAUGAUUUUAAUUACAUUGAAAGCAACUUAGUAGAAUUUUCCAAAUCAAAGAGAGAAAUAUUAAGAUCCAAGUAGGAAUUUCUCUAUUCCUAGUUCGAUUCAAUUAACCAAGCAUAAAUAUCUCUUAAUAUACAUGAGAAGUUUAGACUCUAAAAGUCAAAUCAACAAAAUAUUUAUGGGCUAACACAUGAAAAACUAUUGAGAAAAUCGCCUAAUUUCUGUAAAUUGGCCCUUAAAUCUCCAAAAUGAACUCUAAAAAUUGUCAGACUGUACGUAUUGCUCCCCAACUCCCUACUGAGGGUUCUGUAAAGAUUUCGAUUAGAAUUCGUCCGUAAGUCAUAUCACCAAUAUAUUAAUGACUAACACACACGAAAAACUGAGAAAAUUGUCUAAUUUCUUGAAAUUGGCCCCUAAAUGCCUAAAAUGGACUCUAAAAGUUGUGAGACUGUACGUACUGCUCCCCCGACUCCCUACAGAGGGUUUCGUAAAUGUGUAGCAAAGAAAUCGUCUGGAAGUCAUAUCACUAUAAUAUUAAUGGGCUAACACACACAAACCACUGAGAAAGUCGCGUAUUCCUGUAAAUUGGCCCCUAAAUGCCCAAAAUGAACUCUAAAAUUGUGAGACUAUGUACUGCUCCACUAACUCCCUAUGGAGGGUUCCGUAAAGAUUUCACAAAGAAAUUAUUCGGAAGACAUAUCACCAAAAUAUUUAUGGGCUAAUACAUUUUUAUUUGUCCAUUUGAUUUGACAUAUCUUUCAAGUACUUUGAUCUGGUUAUACUUUUUUUUUAUUGCUAAAAAUAAAUAUCCACUUUUACUUGUUCAUUCUACAAAACAAAGACAAUAUUUUAUUGCUUGAUUCAGAUAUAAAAUUUGAGUAGGCUAAUUUACAAACCAUCUGUAGUCAUCCUGCCCCUAUGCUAUAACAUUUGAAAGAAAGAGGUCAUCAUCAUCAUAUUCAUCAUCGUUGUCAUCUUCAUCAUCAUCUUCAUCAUCGUUGUCAUCUUCAUCAUCAUCUUCAUCUUCUUCAUCAUUAUCAUCAUCAUCAUCAUGAUCGUCAUCGUCACUUGUUUCCUCACUGUUGAAAAAGCCAGCAACAAAAGAUGAAAAAUGAAAUGUUAUGCAAGUAUAACAAGUUACACAAUUACUAUAUUGGAAGGAUUUAAAUCAUAUACAAUGACAACGUAUGAACUUUUACACUAUAGGUGCCAUUUAACUGCUUAUUAAAGCAAUUUAUAAUUAUUUUAUUACUAGUUCUGGACACGUGCUUUGCAUGUGUAUAUUACACGUUUAGUCACGAUUGUAAGAGGGUGUACACCAGGAUCAUUCGAAGAGCAAAGUCGUGUGAGCCUUACAGAUAUUCUUGACGUACUCCUAUUAAAAUCUGUAUCAUAUUCGUAACUUUUUGAAUGAGGUUCACCUUUUUCCUCAUUGUACUUUGUACAUGGAUGUUGUCCAUCACAAUAUCCCCUUUUUCAAAUUUCAUAGCUGAACUACUAGGUGUACGAGUUCCUACCAGAACUACUACCAACUAUUUAUCAAAACACACAUCAACUAUAUAUGAGUUGUUCCCUUUUACUAGUGGUGACAAAUAGGUGGAUUUGGACGGGACUGAAAAUGGAUUGAGCAACAUGGUCGUAACUCACUUAAUCUCUUAAAGCCAGAAAACUUUAAAGAGUUAAUUGAAAUAAACUUAAUGACUAUCCUACUUGAAGUAUCACCGUCGUUCAGGUAAGAAAAAGGAAGUAUAUCAAGGAAGAAGAUGUCUUACAAAGCCUGAUGGAUAUGGACCUCGAUAGAACCUCCAUAGUUGUCUUGAAUGUCCUGUUGAAUCUGCUUUGCGGAAUUCCCAACAGAUUCUGGGCAGUUUCUUAUAUAGAUUAGAGCAAGUGUGGUUAUAUCUGCAAAAUCUUGAGGGAUUGAGUCCAAAAACCUGCAACUAUCAAGAAAUAGUCGUUCAAGGCACGGAAAGUGAUCACAACUAGCUCUCCAGUACUGAAUAUGUGAUCUUUUAAGUAACAAGAACUUCAAAAAAGGAAACCCUUCCUCAGCUACUUCCCACUCCCUGCCUCUGCAUACACCCUGUGUUAGUUCAAGAAGUUCAAGUUUGGGCAAUUUUCCGACAACAAUGCUUAAAUCCUUCCAUGACAAGAAGAAAUUUCCUGUAAAAGUUAAAUUCUUAAGGUUUCGUGGAAAAGCAUCUGGAGGAGGUAAGAUCAAAGAUGGAACAACUUCUACAACAAGUGGAUUCCUUGUCUGAAAACACAUUCUCCUCUCCAAAAAGUAAGCAUUAUUUUGAGGAGGAAGACAAAAUGCUAGUUCCUCGAGAUGAUCUAAGUAGCGAAAAUCAUAGAGGUCUUUGUGACUAUGGAAGUCUUGUGGGAUGCCACGUACUUGCAACUCCUUUAAAUUGGGAAAUAGUCUAAAGAAAGAUGCAGUACAAUAGCUAGGAUUCCAUCCAAACAGAGAAUGUAAAUUUUUCAUAACCAAACUUUUCUCUGUAAGCUCAUGAUAUCGCAAGUAAUUCCGAUCCAAAUGAAGGUGCCUCAACUGUGGCAUUGUCAAAAUAUCUGAUGGUAAUAUCAAAGCAUGUUUACGAAGAUUAAUGACGAGUGGAAGGUAAAGUACCAAACUUUGCAGAUAGCAUAGGUUUGAUAUGGAUGUAGGAAUGUCUACUCUUGAUGAGAGAACAUCUUCUUCGGAUCCUAGAUAUUGCUCAACGUUAGGAUAAAUACGCAAAGCUAGGUGUCUUAAGUGAAUCAAAUAAAGUAUUUCACGGGGAAAAGUUAGACAGAUAUUAUCAGCAAGAUCUAGAACUCUUACUAGCUUGAACGGCAAGUACUCCCUCAUGCAACAUCGGAAUCUACCAAAUAAGAUAACAGAAUGAGCUUCACUGUUAAGGCACCUAACAUACUCUUUCUUAUUAUGGAUGCUGAUUCGACUUCGACUCUUAGACAAACACUGCAUGGAUUUCACAUAUGAAUUUUGAUCAUUCUUUCUUCUGAGAACAUUCACAAAAUUCAUGUUACGAGCUUCCAUCAAACAGAGUUCACGAGUCAUAUCAUGAAUUCCACAACACUUAAUUUUUCCAUCAAAAGUAGUACUUUUAAUGGAAAUUAAACUUCUAUCAAUAAGAUCUUGUAGGUACUUUUCUGCCACUUCUUCUAUGCUUUUCAUCUCUUCUACCUUCAAAAAUCCCUCUGUUUCCCACAAUAUCAUAAGUUUAUUGACAAAAAUCAGUUUAUCCUCUGGGAAGAUUGCGAAAUAUAAAAAGCAUGGUUUUAGGUGGUGAGGCAAGUAAUGGUAACUCAUUGCCAACACCCUCAUGCAUUGGACACCAACAUCUGUGCUUACUGCUGAACUUACAUUUUCAGCAACACUUUGCCACUCACUCAAUGCUUUGUCAAUUUUAGUGAGAAGUCCCGCGAUCACAACAAUUGCUAGAGGCAAUCCUCCGCAUUUCAAUGCAAUUUGCUUUCCAAGUUGUUCAUAUUCAGGGGAGAAAGAGUCUUUCGUAAAGACUUUUUCAUAUAAUAAAUUCCAACUUUCGUCAAAAUUCAUGAGGCGCAUGUGAUGAGGAAGCUUACCUGAGCUAGCAUAUUCAGCCACUUCCACAUUCCGAGUAGUCAAGAGUAUUCGGCUUCCAUUAUGAAAGUCUGGGAAACAUAUUUGUAUAUCAUCCCAAGCUUUUGUAGUCCAUAUGUCAUCAAUGACUACCAAAUAUCUCUUGCCUUUUAGAAGCUUUUGCAGUCGAUCUGCUAGUUGCCCGUCAUGUAGCUGAUCAUAAGGUUUAUCACUUAUACAAGAAAGAAGGUCUAGGAAAACAUUUCUCACACAAUACUCUUGUGAAACAGUAGCUUUUGCACGUAUGUCAAAGCGAUACAUCAUGCAUGGAUCGUUGUAGAGUUUUGUUGCCAAAGUUGUCUUGCCAAUGCCUCCCAUACCUACAAUUGAUACAACUUCUAGUUCUCUUUCUCCUCUAGCAAGUUGAUCCAGCAUCAUCUUGAAUUCAUUUUCAUAGCCAACCAUUAUAACCUCGGACCGCUCAACAGCAAGUUCAGGUAUCUUGGAUAGACAGAAAUUUUGUGCUUUGAAAUCUUUAAUGUUGUUGUACCAGUCCCAUAUUGCCAACCACUGCAUCAUGAAGGAAUCAAUACAUUCUACCUCUUGUUCCAAGGAACAACAGAGUUCCCAGAAAGCUUUGCUUCGUGUAAUUACAGUUUCUGCAGAAGAAACUUUUCUUGAUUUCGAAUCAACCAUGUCUUCUGCUUUGAAUGCUACCUCCGUGAUUUCAACUUCCAAGGUUGUUAACCCCUCAUGAUCGCCCGUUAUAUUGCAGGAUUUCUCUAGAAUAGCUCUCAAAGAUUCGAGCUUUUCAUAAAACGGUUGCAAAUCACAUCCAUUAAGUUCCAUUGAUUGGUGUAUGGUUCUCAUAAGGGAAGUAACAGCAGCAUAAGCCAUAUAUCCAAAAAAUAGGAAUCUCUCACUCUCAGUAUGAAAAUGGACAAAUUAAUUGCCACAAGUUAUGUAAUCUUUCUUUUACUAACUAUUUCCAUCACAUUUCUAGCUAGGUCCACUAACAGGAUAAAGUAGAAAGAUGUGAGGUCACUAACCUUAUCAUCAUGAAGACAAAAGAAGAGACCAAAGUUAAAAAAAAAAAAAGACGAAAAAGUAGAAAAAAUUGUGAUCAUUCAUUAUUAGACCCUACACUAAUCUCUUCAGAAAAAUAAAAUAAAAUUUUAGUUUAAAUAAAGGAAUUCAAGCUGUAUAUUGAUAACGUCCAAUUCAAAUUCAAGUGUAGUACGGUCUAGCAAUAAUAAACUCAACAAAAGUUGGAGUCGAGGAGUACGCUUGUGUCAAGGUGACAGAGAGUGUGCGAAUUUGCUAACAAACAAAAGGUCUUUCUUUUAGCUAGGUCCAUAAUCCAUGUAGUGCUCUAUACUCUCUAGUCUCUAUCAACCAGCUCAAGUUUAAGGGUGUGUUUGGUAUGGAGGAAACAUUUUCUCUAGAAUAGGGAGAGAUUUGUGCAUAAACAAGGAAGAAUCUCUCAGUAUAACAGUGAAUGGGUAUUUUUUUAAGAUUUGCUUCUUUUGUGUAUGACUUUUGUAAGAAACAUUCUGGUAAAAGUUAAAAAAAAUGAUCUUGUGGAAUAGCCACAGUGAAUUCCUUAAUAUUCGAGUAGAAAAAGCCAGAGAGGAUAACAUUGCUAUUUGUACACUUAUCGUGACACGAGUAGUCUCUUAAAUAUUACACCUUUCUACUGAUGUUGCUGAUGCCACUGGAUUUAGCCUUCCGUCUUCCUUUGCAAGGUAGAUCGAGGACUCCCAAGAAAGGAAACACAAGUUACUGGAGUCUGUUCUGGCCUAUACAGUAUGUAUGUACAUAAAAUUUGGAGUAUCUAAAAACCACUGACAAAUGGCUAUACGAAAGAUCAUAUACAAUUAAAUUACAAGCCAUUUGCAAUCAUCCUGCCCCUUUAUGCAGAAUCUUUUCAAAGAAAAUGAAAACGAACAAAACAAACACUCACACAUUUGGCUUCUGAUUUGACAUUUAUUUCAGAGAACUGGCUAGUCGCUGCAGGAAAAAAAAAGACGCAAAAAAUGGAAAAUAAUAUGUUAGAUGUCCCAUAAUUAAGGAACAAGAGAACAUUAUAGCAAGAAUGAGCAUGCAGGUAUAAGAACUUACACAUUAUUGCGGCAAGAAGCAACUUCUUUCUCAAAGUCAUCAUCAUCAUCUUCAUCUGUUGUUACACUAUCGAAAAUGCUAGCUACAAAAGAUGAAAAAUGAAAUGUUACACUUCCCAAAAUCAAGAAUGAGCAUGCAAGUAUAACAAGUUACACAAUAUUGGAAGGAUUCGAAUCAAUCACAAUGACAGCAUCAAGAACUUUUGUUGAAUUGGUGUAAUUUGACUUACUAAAGCUAUUAUCCAGAUUAUUAUCGAGUUUACUAUAAUGAUGAGUUAAAUAUUGUUGUAAAUCAAGGAAGAAGAUGUCUUACUAAAGAUUACGAGUAUGGACCUCGAUAGAGCUUCCAUAGUUGUCUUGAAUGUCCUGUUGAAUUUGCUUGGCGGAAUUCCCAACAGAUUGUUGACAGUAAUGUAUAUCAAUAAGAGCUAGUGUGGUUAUAUCUGCAAAAUCUCGAGGGAUUGAAUCCAAAUACUCGCAAUUUCUAAGAAAAAGUCGUUCAAGGUACGGAAAGUGAUCACUACUAGCUCUCCAGUACCGAAUGUAUAUUUGAUCCAGAAACAAGAACUUCAAGUGAGGAAACCCUUCCUCAACUACUUCCCACUCCUCGCCUAUGACGGCAUUGUGUGAUAGUUUAAGGACCUCGAGUUUGGGUAAUUUACCAACAAUGCUCAAAUCCUUCCAUGCCAAAAGGAAAUCUCCUCUAAAAGUUAAACUCUGGAAAAGAUUAAUUAACAAAAAUUUAUGGUACUAAUUGGGGUAUUAAUUAACAUAUCCUUACUUGAUCACAUAUGUAUUGUUCUGUGUGAAAUUUUCCUCUGACUGAUAGUUGACUAAAUUAUAUUGCAUACGUUCGUGUACAUUUUCUCACUUGGAAGAGUGGAUUUGGACGUAAUUAACUAUCACCAUCGUUUAGGUAGAAAAAAGAAAAUAACUAAUAGUUGAAUGUUUUAAUACAUAGAUGAUCAACUAAUAUGAGAAGAAAAGAGUAGCGUAAAUGUGAGAUUCACUUCUCACCAAGAAUCCUCCUUUCUUAUUAUUUUCCUUUUAGAGGUUAAUAAUUAUUAAGUAUCCCUAGAAUAAUUUAUUGAAAAAGUAGAUUUGAAAGAAAGCAAUUACUCUCUUCUUCCUAUGCGGGACUUCUUGAACAUAACUAAUUUGACAAAAACCACAAUUUUAUUUAUUUUUAGGUGGAAUUAUAUCAAUAAGGAACUAUAUAUGCUUAUGAUAUUAAUCUAAGACCAUUAUUUGUUACUUGAACACAUGGAUUCAUCAUCUGAACAAUUGAAACAAUUAAUACUUGUGUGAACCUUUUUUUAUUUCGAGUGAUGUGUCAUAAUCAUUAGCCAACUAAGACUAGCGUUAAAUUUUUGGUAAGUCUCAAGAAGUGUAAUUAAUACUUAAUAAAAUAAUCUCAUCCUUGAGAUUCAAGAACUUGUUUGGAUUGAAUAGGUUUUUAUCAUCAAGAUCUAGAACAAAGUCUUAAUAUUAGUAAGAGGUAUUUUUGUGUGAAAAGUUUUCUUUGAGGUUCGAGAAAUGGAAUAGAUAUGGACUACAAGUUGAUAUUUCCCAUUGGAAAAUUCACACAAAAAGGAACAAGGAAUUCUCAAUGAAAAAAGCGCUCUCCAAAUCUGUUUAGUAUUUGUCAUGAGGUUCUUAUCAUAAUUGGAUUUUCCUUUUAGGAAAAGGUAAACACAGUCUCCAUAUUUGUCUAGUUCUUUUUCUUGUAGGAAAAAAAUUAUGACUCUAUAAAUAGAUGUUUUGUAACAUCCGACAAUUUGAAAUAGCUAAGAAGAGGCUUGAAAUUUGGAAAUUUUCAAUUUUUGGAAAGGAUUUGAAAAUCUGGAAAAUUUGGCUAAGUAUGGGAAAGGUGAGUUUUUUUGGGCCCAAACUUUGAACAACCAUAAAUUCUAGCUCAGGAUGAGUUAGGUGGAGUUCCGGUUAUGUUUGCAUAGCCCUCGGAACGACCUUUCCAACGCCACUGAGUUUGCUCAAUUCUGAGUUCGUAUGAGCGAGUUAUGGCCAUUGAAAGUUGGGCAGUUGGCAGGGAAUCCGUCCGGAAAAUUAAGGGCAUUUUAGUCUUUUCCCUAGCCAAUUCUUUUGGGAUUAUAUUGUUGUAUAGGGCUGAUCUUUAGAUCAUUUUGUCCCAUUUUAAGAAAUUAAAAUCUAGGGCUUGAGAGUGAAGAAGAGAAGAAGGAGAAGAAGAAGAGAAAAAUCGAGGAGAUCAACAAGUUUCCGACAAGAUCAUCGUGAAUGUUCGUCGGGGGUGAUCCCUAUCAAGGUAUGUGAGCUUUUAGUGUUGGGUGAUACUUUCCCCCACACACCUAGCCCCUUUUAUUUAUUAAGGAAGGAUUGGUUAUGUUGUUAAAGUUGUUAGUUGUUGUGGUUGAAGUUGUUGGAGUUGUUAAAGUUGUUAGUUGUUGUUGUUGGAAUUAUUGUUGGUGGUGGGACAUAAUUGAGUUGUGUUUUUAUGUUGAAAUCUAUUGAAUGUUGAGGGAUUUUAUGUUUCUAAGUGAUUGGGGGCUGGAAUCUUUGAGGUUAGAGGGUUUAGAGUUGGUAACGUGAAGGAGAAAGUCGGGUAGCUUGCGAGGAGCAUGUCUGCGUCGCGGACUUGUUCCUCUGUGAACAAAAAAUCUUCUCCGCGUCGCGGACAGGACGCAGACUCCACUGUUUUCAGAAUUUAUGUUCGAAGAUUUUCUUAGGUUUGGCUGUCCCAAAUCAUUCGCAAAUCAUUCCUAAACAUCAUGAGACCCUUCCAAACACCAAUCAAGUCCUUGAAUCCAUAAUCCAAUUCAAGGUGAGUUAUGAUCAAGUCAAGUGAAGUUAGUUUUCAAGUCAAGUGAAGUUAGAAGUCAAGUGAAGUUAGAGCCAAGCUUAGAAGUUAAGCAAGUCAAAGCAAGUCUUUAAAGCUUUUCAAGAGUCUUCAUUGAACGUUUUGACUUCAUUCUAAGGCUCAAGUUCCAAGUUAAGUAUAGAGUUUCAAGUCAAGCAAAGAGUCUCAAGUUUCAAGUUAAGUAAAGAGUAUCGAGUUUCAAUUUAAGUCAUAAUUUUUCAGUCAAGAGUCAAGAGUUGAGUUCAAUUCUCAAAAGUAAUUAGGGAACUAAGUAUUUCCCAAAGAAGUUUUAUAAGUGUUUUCACAUUUAAGUUGAGAGGAAACGGAGAUUUCCAAAAGAGUUUUGAGAAGUUUGAGCACUAUCUCUUUUAAAAGAAAAGAUGAGUUUUUGAAAAAGAGUUUCUAAAUUAUGAUUAGUAUGACAAAUGGAGUAUGUCAUCAAUGUUUAAACAGUAUGGUCUCUAGAUAUACCAUCAAUGUUUAAGCAGUAUGAAUAUCCCGAGUCAUCAAUGAUCAUAAAAAAAAAAAAUGUGGUUUUGACUUGUUCUAUUUAGAAAGAGUUUUCAAGUGCCUUCGGGCUAAGUUUUGAGUAAUUAUCUCAACUAAAGAAAGAUGUGCUUAAAACACUUAUGAGCUAAAGUAUUUUGGGAGUAGUAUCGAGCACCGAAUUGGGGAAACGAGUUCAUAUUAAACUCAACUCUCCAUAAGAACCAUGUAGCCAAACAUGGGAUUUCUCGGAUCAUACUUUUUAGAUGAUCACGAAAGUUAAGCUAGUGGAUCCAUUAAGCAAAAGUUAAAGUAAGGUCCUAUAUCGAUGGCAAGGUAUAGGAUGGUCCUUGGGCAACGUGAGGUAAAACGUUGUAUCACCACUCAGAUUCAUAGUGGUGGUUUGUCGGUUAGAGAAGCUCCCACAGUAGAAAGAGCAUGGUUCCUCGAGGGUUCUGCUUAGUAUGGAUGGGGGUAUGGGACUUCAUUCAUGCAUUGCACAAGUAGACUUUGAGAGGAAGCAUGGUAUUUUUAUGAUAUUAUAAAUAUGAUUUUUACGUCAUGUUUUAAUAGUUUCAAAAGCUUUAUAUAUAUUGCAUGUGUCUCAUUGCUUUAUAUUAAGUUCAGUUAUUCUUGAGUUGUACAGAGCCAAGGUAAGUUCUCUUUUGUAUCCCUUUUCAAGCUUAAGUUGUUGUUUAGCGGUCCAGCUCGCAUACUCGUACAUUCCAUGUACUGAUGCCAGUUGGCCUGCAUCUUAUGACGAUGCAGACACNNNNNNNNNNNNNNNNNNNNNNNNNNNNNNNNNNNNNNNNNNNNNNNNNNNNNNNNNNNNNNNNNNNNNNNNNNNNNNNNNNNNNNNNNNNNNNNNNNNNNNNNNNCAGUCAGUUAGUUUUGAGUCUCUCAUCUAUGUAUAUAUGUAAAUAUUCUAUUUUGAGACUCGAGUGGCCUUUUUGGCCAGAUGUGUAUCAUUUAAGUUGUUUAUGUCUUUGCAUGGCAUUGAGUUAUUCUGUUGAGUAGGUUUCCGCUGAGUUAAGAAAGCCAGGCCAAGGGUUCGCUUGGGGCCAGCAAUGGUCUCUGAGUGCCGGUCCCGCCCAGGGUGUAGGCUCGGGGCGUGACAUGUUUAUUCAUUCUAGCUUGGUAGCAUUCAUAAUGCAAUCCUAGGGGGCUUUGAGAGUUUUGUGUAUUGUGUGAAGCUAGAGGAAGAAUGUAUGAGACACAAGUAUUACUUUAACACUUGUGUGAACCUCUUUGUAUUCAGAGUGAAUUGUGUGAGGUUAUUCUUCUCUAGAUUUUAUAGUGAUUUUUUCAUCUCCUCUUGUGGAUGUAGAUCGGUUGACCGAACCACGAUAAAUGUUUGUGUCUUUUGAUAUAUUUCUUGUUUGUCUUAUUACUCAUCGUCUUUCAAGGUUUGCUUUGCUAGCUUUUGCAUGACACCUAAUUAUUUCAGUCCCAACAAGUGACAUCAGAGUCAGGUUCAAUGGUUUAAUGAUUCAAUGGUCGAACCAUGUUAAAAAUAAGUGUUCAUCUUGACGGGUUUAGUUCUAGCCGUAACAUAUUUGACAGUAAUGAAGAUUUUUGUUGGAGAAAUAUUUUCAAAGAUGUUUUCUGUGUUGAUAUAUAUAUAUAUAUAUAUAUAUAUAGAUUUUGCAGAGGAGAUGCAAGGUAUUGAAGAUUAUGUGAAGAAGGUGGAUCAAAUUUAUUUUGUCAGAAAUUUAGGCCAAUGGAGAUAUUUGUUUAGUAUUUGUCAUGAAUUUCUUAUCAUAAUUGGGUUUUUUCUUUUAGAAAAAGGAAACCACAAAGUUUCCAUAUUUGGCUAGUUCUUUUUCUUGUAGGAAAAUGUUUGACUCUAAAAUUAUAUGUGUAUUCCUUCUAGCCUAAUAGCAUUUACAAUGUAGUCCUAAGGGGCAUAGAGAGUUUUGUGUAUUGCGUGUAGCUAGGGGGAGAAUGUGUGAGACACAAGUGUUACUUUAACACUUGUGUAAACCUCUUUGUUUUUCCAUUGAAUUGUGUAAGGUUAUUCCUCUCAAUAUUUUGUACUUUCUUUUAUAUAGUGAAUUGCUCAUAUCCUCUUUUGGAUGUAGGUCGGUUGUCCGAACUACGUUGAAUAUUUAUGUCUUUUGGUAUAUUUUUCGUUUGUAUUAUUACUCAUGGUCUUUCAAAAUUUGCUUUGCUAGCUUUUGCCUGAUACCUAAUAAUUUCAGUCCCAACAAAACCAAACGUGAAAGUUGUUUUCCAGCAGACAACUUUUCUAGUAGCUCUACUCUCGACUUGGAUAAUUUAACCAAAAAGGUACGCUUUCGGCCAUUCUACAUGCUGCCUAUGUAGAGACAUGUUUAUCUAAAGUGGAUUCUCUUUUUUGUAGUAGGUAUCAAACCUGUUAUGCCCAUUGACUAAGAAGCUAGGGGUGGACACAACAACUACAUGGACCUCUUUCUUACAUCGGCCAUCACUAUUAAUCGUCUUUGUUAUCACAAUGACCACCACUAUUACCGUCAUCAAACAUCUCUGUCCUCACAAUUACCAUUAUUAUCAACCACUACUAUAUAUCAAACAUUUGCUAUAUUUAUGUUUUUUAUUGACAUAAACAAUGGGUUAACAUGAUAUAAUUUAUUAGUAGUUUUAUAUAUUUUUCUUAUAAUAAAGGAAACAAUCACUUAUACAUUCUUUGAGAUCAUUUAGUUUAAAAUCAGGAGUGGAAUCAUAACUAGGGUUAUAGCUUAGCAUCAAUUCACCUUCUUAAUUAAUGGGAUAAUUUAAUUAGCUAAAUUUGAAUGAAAAGAAGAAGAAAUUGAUUAAUUUAAUUCGUUUACGUUCCAAUGGGGUGUGCAAUAUCCAUAAAUUUGUCAUGUCGUUAUUAGGUGUUCAUGAGAUGCACAUAUUCCAAGCAAAAGUACCUAUUUGAUCACUAGAUGAGUUUAAGUAUUCAAUUUACAAAUUCUGCCAAAUUUGAGGGACUAUCUAGGUAUUAUUUAGAUAAAAUUAUUUGUAUAGUCCACUCUAAACAUACUUAUAAUUAAGCAAGUAACAUAUACUAUAUAAAGAAGCUUCUAGAGAUAAUUAAAGUUAACUCUAUAUAAUUAGAGUUGCAAUAACAAAUACGUCAAAACAUUAAAGUGUUUCACCAAUAAAGUCAUUUUUUUAAUGUCCAAAACUAAUCCAAUGGAAGCUCUAUUAUGUGGAACACCAGAAGAAGUUUCAGUAUUGUUGGUACAUCAUGAAGUAGAAUUUCUUACUAAUCAGACUGUUAAAUUGUUAGAGGCUUAUAAAUACAAAGGUGACAUUCUAGAAUUUUUUUAACUUUUUUGUUUCUUUGAUAUAAUAACUAAAUGCCGUGUGACAUUUUUUUUUAUAUAUAGAGAGAGAUUGAAAUGAUAUGCUUUUUGUUAUCUCAUUUAUGAUUUUAGCAUCGUCCAUUUUUAAAUUUCAUUUAUCUUGUAAAUCUUGAACUUUUCUUUUUCCUUGUUAUCAUAGCACUUUUUAAUUUUUACAAAUUUAUCUAUCCUCGAAGAAAAAUAAUUCUACAUUAGUGAUGGAUGCACAAGAAAUUAGGAUGACGGGAGGGAAGAGAAAGAGCACGAAAAAGACAUGAUAAGAGAUGAUCUGUCUAUCAUUAUUACUUGAGAUAAUAUUUUUUUGUCUUUUAUUGGAUGUAUAAAAAAAAAUGAGGAGAUCUAAUUUUCAUUAAAAAAACAUUUCCCUUUCUAUUUUUUGUUUUUGUUUUUCGUUGGACGUAGACAAAAAAUUGGCAACUCCUUUCUUAUACUUUGUUAGAUCAUCUAAUUACAUAUCUAUGAAAUAAAAUUACCUCAAAACAUUUUAUCCUAUUAUCUUUUGCUUUAAUAUUUAUUUGUUUUUGACAAGCCAUAAAUAAAUUGGAAUAGUUUUUAGAAAUAUAUUCUUUAGGAUCUUCUCUAGUUUUUAGUAAUCCAAUUAACGAAAAAAAAAAACUAAUAUAUACUUUUUAUGUAACCAAUCUAGUUAAGAUUGCACUCAUCAUUUAUAAUAUAAGUUGAUUAAUAUGUGUUAUUUUAAAAAUUAAAGUGCAGAAAUAUAACAUGAAAAUUCACAGUUGAAUUUGAAUAACAAACAAACAUAUCCAAAUGAUACCUUUGUGUACAAUAUUUUUUUUUUCAUAAUUUUCACUGAUUUCAAAUUGCACGGGUAUAUGUAGUUACGGAAGUUAUGGCUCCUGCGGCAAUGUCAAUGCUUUUCAAAGAAAAGAAAAAAAUUGAUGCAAUGAUAAUCAAGGUCAUUUCACCGGAUUCACAUUGCUUUGAGCUCCUGGCACAAGCUGUAACCUUGAACAUCAUCGUAGUAAGUAAGUAUUUAUAAUUCUAUCUUCCACUUAUUAUUAUAGACGGUAAAGUAAGUUUUUUUAAUUAACUAUUGCAUAAUGUAUAUAAUAUUAUUCAAUUUUAAUUGCUAUCUUCUUGAUAUAAUUAUGCAGUUGUCUAUGAUGAACUCAAUGAAUUCUUAGUGAAGAAAGCUUUGGACAAUGGAGCUUACAUUUGCUCGAAGAAGCCUCUUGUCGAGCAAACUAUGACAUUCUUGUGGCAAUUUGUAUGGAGGGAGAAAACACAAAGAGGGAAAUCAAUAAAAAGAGUAGAAACAAAGGGAGAUCAUAUUUUUGUUUGAAGUUAUUGGAGUUCUGAGAAAACAAUAGGUCGUGGUUUUUUCCUCCCUUGAGCAAAGAGGUUUCCACGUUAACAUAUGUGUUCUUACUUUAAGCAUUUAGAUUACUUCUUGUUAUCAGUAUAGUCAAGUGGUCAGAACACGAGAAGACAUGUCACUAAACAACAACAUAUAUAGGAAAAAACAAACUCUGCUAAGUGAUCGAUCCGUGUGUGAUAGUUGCCUUCUUAACCUUGAACUAUUGCUUCCUGCUAGAUUAUAUGAACUUAGAUAUGUAUACAAAUUAGUAUUCAAUGAGUUCCCAAACAUUCGUGCAUAAACAAUUUCCCCUGUUGUCGUGCCACCAGGACUUAGCAUAUGUUCUGUAUUUGUAUAAUUUCGAUGAUGAUCAUGAGAUUGCUGGGAUAAUGGAGGCAUAUUAUUAUUGUGUAUUAGACCGUGACUCCUACAUCUCGAACUAGGAGGUCUUUGUGGUAUGACUAUACCAAAAUUCUAUACCAAAAUUCGGGGCCUUAAUUUCAGAUGUUUUUGUAGCUUGACAGCGACCAUAGAGUGGAAUCAAUGUUUUUUGUGAGACUUCAGCUUUGCAAACAGGGCAAUUUGGUUGUUGGUUAUCGAUGUUCUCUGAUGAAAUGGUCUUAAAAUGUAUCCAUUUGUAGAUGCAAGGCCAACAAUAGGAGGUGACCACAUAAUGUAACAACAGGAUCAUGUACAACAUCUAGGCAAAUGUUGCACUCGAAACCUCCAGGUGAAUUUUCUUCAAGUUUAUCAAGAUCAAUUGUCUCCAUUUUUCAAAGGAAAUAUCGCGUUGAUCAAAGGUAGUUUCUGCUAUUUGGUCUUGAAAAAUUUGUUCUAAGGCCAUAUUUGCCUCUUGGUAUUGAAUUAUUUUGGUAAUGGCAAGAUGAAGAAUGGUUAGAAUUCAGGUUUUUAAUACAAUUAGAAGUGAGUAUUUAUAAGGACAAAGAAUAGUAGUUUGCAAACAAUGAUUCUUAAGGUUGUCACUUGUCAACAUCACAUUAUGUUAAAGGGGCAUGGCCAAAAAGAAAAGGCCCUACACAUUAUUAAACAACACUAUAUCAUAUUACUCAACAGUCUUGAUUUAUGGGGUAUUGUUUGAUUUGAUAUAACAUUUAAUAAGAAAAUGAAGACUUUUAAAAUAUGUACUGUAUUAAAGAUAAAAAAUAAAUUUUAAGUUUUUCGAUCCUAGAAAUGAUAUUCUUUUUAUAUUAAGACUAAAACAAAUGUUUUACAUAAAUUAAGAUAGAUGAACUAUCAAACACAUCAUAAUUAAGUGAUUUAAUGAAGUCAAAAAUAAAUAUUAAUGGAUCAUGGUUAAGUGAGAGGAGUUUUGUGCAAACACGUCUUUUAUCUAUCUAUUUGAUUUAAACAAGCAUAAGUUUUAUCAUAUUAGAAAUAUGAUUAGGACCUUAUAUUAGGCCCCAUGAUAGGAAUCUUAAUCUAGAAAAUAACUUUUAGUCAAUAAAAAGUAGCACUAGUUGCGUACAAGGAGCUACCACUUGAUGACCUUCCACACUUCCACAUCCCAUAAGUUCAAUAGUUUUCACACUAUAAGAACUAGAUGUUUUUUUCCGCGUGAAUCAAUAAAAUUUUUAGUUUUAUGUUAUAAAACAUGAUUUUUUUCAUUUUGAUUUUAUUAAACUAAUUCACUAAGAAAAUUCAUAACGAAACAUAAGUUCUCAUUGAAAUACUGGAAAUAGUCACUUGGAAAUUUAUGAGUUUUAGGAAAUUAUGCAUCAAAACUUAGAAAGACGCGGCUCAUAUAGAAAUUUGUUGUUAAAUCAUAAUAUAUACUUUUACAUCUGAAUAUCUUUAUUGAUUUGGUUAAAAUUAUAAUUAAAAAAAUUACAAUACAAUAUAUAUAGAUUCACAUAAAUUUAAUACUGUAAGUUCAAUUAUUAUUCAAUUAUUAUUAUGAUAUAUUAAUCUAAAAUUAUUAUAGAAGCUUCUAAACUCUAAAUUCAGAUCCAACUAAGGAGUGAAUAUACAUAGUGGGGGUCUGGGGGAUGGGAGAAAACAUAUGGACGGUGUGACAAAUAAAUAAAAGAAAUACUCCGUCCAUUCCAUUUGACUUAGUAUUGUUUGACUUAAUACGAUGUAUAAGAGAAAAAAAAGAUUUUAGAAAAUUAUAGGCUAAAACAAUUUUUAUAUAUUUAUAUAAUUGUAAAUCAUUUCAUUAAUUAAGGGUAGAUGGAGAAUUUUAAGUUUAAUUAUUUUCAAUUACAAUAAAAUGACAUUUUUAAAGACGGAUUAUGAGAAUAGAGUGCCACGUAAAAUAAAACGAGAAAAUACUACUCCCUCCUUCCCAUUUUAUAUGUUACCUUUUUACUUUACAUUUACAUUAAGAAAUAAUGUAACUUUACCCUUCUACCCUUAUUUAAUGUUUUCUUAAGUUAACUUUAUAACUCCCUCCGUCCCAUUUUAUAUGUCAUCUCUUUCUAUAAAUAGUUGGACCACAAUACUUGUCAUUUUAUAAAAUUUAUGUAUAAAUUACCAUAUUUUACCUAUUAUAUCCUUGAUAGAGUAGUUAAUUAAUCUUGAAAAUAUAUUCAUCAUUUAUUAUAAAUUGACUUAAGAAAAUAUUAAAUAAGAAUAGAAAGAUAAAAUUACAUCAUUUCUUAAUAAAAGUAUAAAGUAAAAAUGUGACGUAUAAAAUAGAACGGAGGGAGUACUACAAAAGAACGAGUCCGCACAUGCAUUAUACAAGUACUACAUGUGUCUCGAAUUUAGCAGCCUUUUGUCAACUUUUUAUAUUUUGGCUUACUUGGAAGCAAGUCUAUCCUCUCCUAUACAAUCAAUUAGGGUGGCCAUUAAUCAUAUAUUAUUAGGCUAAAGAUAACAUAUUGCUCCCUCCGUUUUUAAUUAUUUAUCCAUUUUUUUAGUUAUUCCUAAUUACUUGUCUAUUUUUACAAAUCAAGAAAGAACAAUUUUUUUUACCUAUUAUACCGUCAAUUUAUUACUUUGAAAAAAGUAGAACUUUUUGAAAAUCUUGAGUUUUUAAUUCAUCCACUUCAUAAUUAAUAUGGAUAAAAUGGUAAACUCACUAUUUCAAUAAUUGUUUUCUUAAUAGGUGUGCCAAUUCAAAAAUGGACAAGUAAUUAGGGAUAGAGAAAGUAUAUCGAAAUAAUAUAAUAAGAUAUUAUGCUAAAGAUAAUUAACAAAACUUUGAACAAUUAUAAAUAAGAUAGCAAAAAAAUCCAUAGUAAAUUAACAUGGUUCAACGAUUAGUGAUGGAAUCUGAAUAUGAUUCAGGAUUUUCACUAUUAAUGAAAUUCAAAAGGAAUAAUACAUAAAUGUGCCCUUUAACUUGACUUCAUUUUAUGUUUAUGUCCUUCAACUUUGGGUAUACACAAAUAUGCACCUAAACUUGUAUAAAGUUGAACAACUAGACACAUGAGUCCUACAUGACACAAUACACAUAAGAUACCACGUAGGAUAAAAAAUGCCAUGUAGGACAUGUGUGUCUAUUUUUUCAACUUUAUACAAAUUUAAAUAUCUACUUGUGCACACCCAAAGUUGAAGGGCAUAAAUGUGAUUUGAAGCCAAGUUAAAGGGUAUAUUUAUGUAUUAUGCCUAUUCAAAAUAUGAAUAAAUAAACAUAUAAAUUAGCUGACUACAAUAAUAGACAGAUAAAAAAUAAUUUUAACUAUAUGUAUAAAUAAUAUAAUUUUUCAUCGAAAGAGGUUCAUCUGAUUCCUCACUACUUUCUCUCAUUCAAAACUAAGCAAUAUGAGACUUUCAUGUCACAUGGAACCCUUUUUUUUUUUUUUGGAAAUCUCAGUAGUUCAGUUAAUUGACUGACUAUCUGAAUUCUCGAUUUCCCAUGUUGUAAUCCUCUACCCCAAUUUUUUUAUUACCUUCCUCACAUAUGUAUAAGACCGAAUCCAAAUAUCUAAGAUGAGAGAAUUUUGGGAGAGCCACCGACUCCAACUACUGCCAUAUAUUAUCCAUAUUAGAUUUGACCAACUAUCCAUCCUACCCUCCUCUACGUUCUUGACAACCCAUUUUUGUCUUAGUCAAGUCUUUUAGUGGCACGUUUUGAUCCUCUUUUCAAUUACUUAGAAAAAGUGAGUUAUUAUUCAGAUACAAAAUACUAUCAUUAUCGCCUAAAAAAUUAGACAUUCAACCCGUAAUCACAAUGAUCCAAUUACAAAAGCUCCGAACCCCCUAGGUCUAGACUGGCUCUGGCCCUAGUUUUAUCUCUUGACCUUCACAUGAGUAAACUCGUUGAUAUAGAGGAUUACAGUAUUGAUUUCUUUAAAAGAAAAAAACCUUAAUUUAAGGUAUGGAGGCCUAGAAAGGAAACACACGUUAUAUAUGGAGCCUGUUCUGGCCUAUACAGUAUAUAUGUACAUAAAAUUUGGAGUAUCUAAAGAACCACUGACAAAUGGCUACGAAAGAUCAUAUACAAUUAAAUUACAAGCCAUUUGCAAUCAUCCUGCCACCUUAAGCAGAAAAAAUGAAAACGAAUAAAACAAACACUCACACAUUUGGCUUCUGAUUUGACAUUUAUUUCAGAGAACUGGCUAGUCCUCAGAACACCUUAACUACUCGCUGCAGAAAAAGAAAAAAAAGACGCAAAAAAUGGAAAAUAAUAUGUUAGAUGUCCCAUAAUUAAGGAACAAGAGAACAUUAUAGCAAGAAUGAGCAUGCAGGUACGUAUAAGAACUUACACAUUAUUGCGGCAAGAAGCAACUUCUUUCUCAAAGUCAUCAUCAUCAUCAUCAUCUUCAUCUGUUGUCACACUAUCGAAAAUGCUUGCAACAAAAGAUGAAAAAUGAAAUGUUACACUUCCCAAAAUCAAGAAUGAACAUGCAAGUAUAACAAGUUACAAAAUAUUGGAAGGAUUCGAAUCAAUCACAAUGACAGCAUCAAGAACUUUUGUUGAAUUGAUGCAAUUUGACUUACUAAAGCUAUUAUCCAGAUUAUUAUCGAGUUUACUAUGAUGAUGAGUUAAAUAUUGUUGUAAAUCAAGGAAGAAGAUGUCUUACAAAAGAUUCACGAGUAUGGACCUCGAUAGAGCUUCCAUAGUUGUCUUGAAUGUCCUGUUGAAUUUGCUUGGCGGAAUUCCCAACAGAUUGUUUACAGUCACUUAUAUCAAUAAGAGCUAGUGUGGUUAUAUCUGCAAAAUCUCGAGGGAUUGAAUCCAAAGAAUAGCAAUCUUUAAGAAAAAGUCGUUCAAGGUACGGAAAGUGAUCACUACUAGCUCUCCAGUACCGAAUGUAUACUCUAUCCAGAAACAAGAACUUUAAGUGAGGAAACCCUUCCUCAACUACUUCCCACUCCUCGCCUAUGAAGGCAUUGUCUGAUAGUUUAAGGACCUCGAGUUUGGAUAAUUUACCAACAAUGCUCAAAUCCUUCCAUGCCAAAGAAAAUUUUCCCCUAAAAGUUAAACUCUUAAGGUUUUGUGGAAAAGCAUCCGGAGGAGGUAAGAGUAAAGUUGGAACAUCAGUUGGAGGUGCAGUUCCCCCGAAACGAGUCUGAAACCUCAGAGGAUCUUGCGGAGUAGAACCUGAAGGUGCAGUGUUUUUUAGAAAGCAAGCAAUAGGUGAAUAAUAAAUACCAAAUGUCAAUUUCUCGAGCUGAUAUAAGUAGCGAAAAUCAUACAGGUCCUUGUGAUUGCGAAAGUCCUCUGGGACGCCAAAUACUUUCAACUUCUUUAAAUUGGGAAAUAGUCUAAAAAAAGACCCUGUACAAUACCGAGGAUUCAAUUGAUUGAGGCAUUGCAAACUUUUCAAAACCAAUCUGUUCUCUGUAGGCUCAUGACUCUGCAAGUAAUUCCAGCCCAUAUGCAGCUUCCUCAAUUGUGGCAUCGUCAAAAUUUCCGAUGGUAAUAUGAAAGGAUAACUACUAUUGGGAAAUGGAAGGUAAAGUUUAAAAGUUUGCAGAUAGCAUAGGCUUGAUAUCGAUAGAGGAAUGUCUAUUAUUGAUGAGGGAACAGCUUCUUUCGAUCCUCGAUACUGCUUUAAGCAAGGCUUAAAACACAAAGAUAGGUAUCUCAAAUGAAAUAGAGAAAGUACUCCACUGGGAAAAAAUGGGCAUAUAGUCAAACCAAGAUCUAGUACUCUUACUAGCUUGAAAGACAAUGCCAGUGUGACGCAUUUGAAUCCACCCAACAUGAUAAUAGAAUGAGCCUCACUGCUACAACACCAAACCAAUUUUUUCUCAUUAUGGAUUCUGAUCCGAUUUCGACUCUUAAAGGAACACUGCAUGGAUUGUUCACAUGAAUUUUGAUAACUCUUUCCUCUGAUAACAUUCACAAAAUUCAUGUUUCGAGCUUCCCUCAAACAGAGUUCACGGGUCACAUCAUGCAUUCCACAACUUUCUAUUGUUCCACGAAAACUAAAAUUGUGGAUGAAAAUUAAGCUUCUAUCUAUAAGUUCAUUUAUACAUGUUGUUGCCACCUCUUCUAUGCUUUUUCCCUCUUCUUCAUUCAAAAACCCCUCUACGGCCCAUAAUUCAACAAGUUUAUUUACAUAAAUCUGUUCAUCCUCUGCGAAAAUUGCAAAAUACAGAAAACACGGUUUUAGGUGAGAAGGCAAGUGAUGGUAACUCAAAGCCAACACUCUCAUGCACUUUGCUUCAAGAUCUGUGCUUACCACUGAACUUACAUUCUCCGCAACAUAUUGCCACACACCCAAUGUUUUACUGAUUUUGGAGAGAAGUCCAGCAAUCACAGUAAUUGCUAGAGGUAACCCUCCACAUUUUAAUGCAAUUUGUUUCCCAAUAUUUUCAAAUUCAGGAGAAUAAGAACCUUCUUUUUCAAAGAUCUUUUUGUGUAGUAAAUUCCAACUUUCGUCAAAAUUCAUGAGGCGCAUGUGAUGAGGAGGCUUACCUGACCUAGCACAUUCAGCCACUUCCACAUUCCGAGUAGUCAGGAGUAUUCUGCUUCCAUUAUAACAGUCUGGGAAACAUAGUUUUAUAUCAUCCCAAGCUUCUGUAGUCCAUAUGUCAUCAAUGACUACCAAGUAUCUCCUGCCUUUCAGAUGCUUCUGCAAUCGGUCCGCUAGCUGAUCAUCAGGUUCAUCACUUAUCGAAGGAAGAAGGCCUAGGAUUACAUUUCUCACACAAUACUCUUGUGAAACAGUUGCUUUUGCACGAAUAUCAAAUCGAGACAUAAUGUAAGGAUCACUAUAGAGUUUUGUAGCCAAAGUUGUUUUCCCGAUACCUCCCAUCCCUACGAUUGAGACAACUUCUAGUUCCCUUCCUCCUCUAGCAAGUUGAUCCAGCAUCAUCUCAAAUUCAUUUUCACGGCCAACCAUUAUAUUCUCGGGCUGCUCAACAGCAUGUUCAGGUAAACUGACAAGUGAGCUAGUUUGUGGUUUUAGAUCUUUCAUGCUGUCCGAUGCUGCCAUCCACUGUUUCACGGUGGAAGCAAUGCAUUCUAGUGCUUGUUCCAAGACGAAAAAAAUCUCCCACAUAGCCCUGCUUCUUUCCUCCAAAUUCUGUGCUAAAAAAACAUUUCUUGAUUCCGAGUCAACCAUAUCUUCUGUUGUGUAUGCUACCUCUGCGAUUUCAACUUCCAAGAUUGUUAACCCCUCAUGAUCGCCCAUUAUAUUGCAGGAUUUCUCCAGAAUAGCUCUCAAAGAUUUGAGCUUUUCAUAAAACGGUUGCAAAUCACAUCCAGUAAGUUCCAUUGAUUGAUGUAUGGUUCUCAUAAGGGAAGUAACAGCAGCAUAAGCCAUAUAUCCAAAAAAUAGAAAUAUCUCUCAGUAUGAAAAUGGACAAAUUGCCACAAGUUAUGUAAUUUUUCAGUUUUUAAGAAAACAGAAAAUGCAAAGUUCUUUCUUUUACUAGCUAUUUCCAUCACAUUUCCAGCUAGGUCCACCAACCUUAUCAUCAUGUAGACAAAAGCAGAGACCAAAGUUAAAAAAAAAAGAAAAAAGGCAGGACUCUAACAGGAAAAAGUAGAAAAAAUUGUGACCAUUCAUUAUUAGACCCUACACUUAUCUAUUCAUGAAUAUAGGUAUGUUUCUUACAUACAAGAGAUUGAUGAUUUUAAUUCCAUUGAAAGCAACUUCGUAGAAUUUUCCAAAUCAAAGAGAGAGAAAUAUUAAGAUCCAAGUAGGAAUUUCUCUAUUCCUAGUUCGAUUCAAUUAACCAAGCAUAAAUAUCUCUUUAAAUAUAUAUGAGAAGUUUAGACUCUAAAAGUCAAAUCAACAAAAUAUUUAUGGGCUAACACAUGAAAAACUAUUGAGAAAAUUGCCUAAUUUCUGUAAAUUGGCCCUUAAAUCUCCAAAAUGGACUCUAAAAAUUGUCAGACUGUACGUAUUGCUCCCAACUCCCUACUAAGGGUUCUGUAAUUUCGAUUAGAAUUCGCCCGUAAGUCAUAUCACCAAUAUAUUAAUGACUAACACACACGAAAAACUAAGAAAAUUGUCUAAUUUCUUGAAAUUGGCCCCUAAAUGCCUAAAAUGGACUCUAAAAAAUUGUCAGACUGUACGUAUUGCUCCCAACUACCUACUAAGGGUUCUGUAAUUUCGAUUAGAAUUCGCCCGUAAGUCAUAUCACCAAAAAUAUUAAUGGGCUAACACACACAAAACACUGAGAAAGUCGCCUAUUCCUGUAAAUUGGCCCCUAAAUGCCCAAAAUGAACUCUAAAAUUGUGAGACUAUGUACUGCUCCACUAACUCCCUAUGGAGGGUUCCGUAAAGAUUUCACAAAGAAAUUAUUCGGAAGAUAUAUCACCAAAAUAUUUAUGGGCUAAUACAUUUUUAUUUGUCCAUUUGAUUUGAUAUAUCUUUCAAGUACUUUGAUCCGGUUAUACUUUUUUUUUAUUGCUAAAAAUAAAUAUCCACUUUUACUUGUUCAUUCUACAAAACAAAGACAAUAUUUUAUUGCUUGAUUCAGAUAUAAAAUUUGAGUAGGCUAAUUUACAAACCAUCUGUAGUCAUCCUGCCCCUAUGCUAUAACAUUUGAAAGAAAGAGGUCAUCAUCAUCAUAUUCAUCAUCGUUGUCAUCUUCAUCUUCAUCUUCAUCAUCAUCUUCAUCUUCAUCAUCAUCUUCAUCAUCAUCUUCAUCUUCUUCAUCAUUAUCAUCAUCAUCAUCAUGAUCGUCAUCGUCACUUGUUUCCUCACUGUUGAAAAAGCCAGCAACAAAAGAUGAAAAAUGAAAUGUUAUGCAAGUAUAACAAGUUACACAAUUACUAUAUUGGAAGGAUUUAAAUCAUAUACAAUGACAACGUAUGAACUUUUACACUAUAGGUGCCAUUUAACUGCUUAUUAAAGCAACUUAUAAUUAUUUUAUUACUAGUUCUGGACACAUGCUUUGCAUGUGUAUAUUACACGUUUAGUCACGAUUGUAAGAGGGUGUACACCAGGAUCAUUCGAAGAGCAAAGUCGUGUGAGCCUUACAGAUAUUCUUGACGUACUCCUAUUAAAAUCUGUAUCAUAAUAUCUGAUGAAAUCAGCUACUGAUCAGUCAAGCUCUCCAUUGAUGUAGACUUCAACUACACAUGAGAAAGAAUGAGAGAAGAAGAGAGAAGAGAAGAGAAGAAGAAUCUAGAAGAGCAACAUGAAAAUUAAUCUCUCAUUGAAUGUGAAUUAAAACUACAAGAAUUACAAUGUGACUAUAUAUAUAUAAUCACUGGCAGAAAUUAACUAACUAACAAACUUGAUUCUAACUAACUCUACUGUACAUAGAUUCUAACUAACUCUACUGUACAUAACCGACUCUACUGUACAUAACUAACUAAUUAUACUUUAUAUUCUCAUCACCCCCCCUCAAGUUGGAGGUGAUGUAAUUACAGACAACUUGUGCAAUAAGGCAGUAUGUUUAACUCCAGUCAGAGCCUUGGUGAAGAUGUCUGCCAACUGUGAAUCAGUGGGAAUAUGAUGGAGUGUGAUUAGGCCUUGUUGAAGCUUGGUCCUAACAAAGUGACAAUCGAUUUCUAUGUGCUUUGUCCUCUCAUGAAAAACUGGAUUCUUUGCAAUGUGGACUGCUGCUUGACUGUCACAAUGGACAGGGAUAGGUAAGGAGCAUUGUACAGUCAACUCAUCCAACAAUCGUUCAAGCCACACUAGUUCUCCUACAACUUGUCUCACAGCUCUAUAUUCAGCUUCAGCAGAUGACAAAGACACUGUUGCUUGCUUCUUAGACUUCCAGCUGACAGGACUAUCACCCAGAAGCACUAGGUAUCCACUAACAGACUUCCUGGAAUCAGGGCAAGCAGCCCAAUCAGAAUCACAAUAAGCACUGAUAGUGAGAUCAGGCUUGUUUGAGAUAAAAAUUCCCAAUGUUGGAUCCUGUUUCAAAUAUCUGAGCACAUGGUAUGCUGCUUUUAAAUGUGGUUCCCUAGGUGAUUGCAUAAAUUGGCUCAAGUGUUGUAUACUAUAAGCUAUGUCCAUUCUAGUGUUGGUCAAAAAAUUUAGCUUACCAACCAACUUCCUGUAUUGAGUAGGAUCAGAUAAAAGAUUGCCAUCUGUAGCUGUUAACUUCUCAGUGCAAUCAAGUGGUGAUGUAGUGGCCUUGUGACUUAACACAUCAAAAUCUUUCAGGAGAUCAGAAGUGAAUUUCCUUUGUGAAACUAGCACUCCAUCAUGUCUGUAUAAUAUUUCCAGUCCCAGAAAGUAGUGUAGUUUGCCCAAAUCCUUUAUCUUGAACUGAUCAUUUAAGAAGCUCUUUAAGGAGUUGAUUUCAGCCACAUCUGUUCCAGUUAGAAUUAUGUCAUCCACAUAUACAGCAACAAACACCAAGGAGCAGCCCUUCCUUUUGUAGAACAGUGAGUAAUCACUGUCUGAGUGCUGAUACCCUCUUGAACAUAGACAGUUUGCCAACUUCUCAUACCAUUGCCUGCUGGCCUGUUUUAGUCCAUACAAAGACUUCUUCAAUUUGCACACCAUGUUAUCACAACCUACUACAAGACCUUGUGGAGGUGCCAUGUACACUUCCUCAUGCAAAUCACCAUGUAAGAAUGCAUUAUUGACAUCUAGCUGAUACAAGCUCCAAUCUUUCUUAACAGCUAAAGAGAUUAAUGUUCUAACAGUAGUCAUUUUAACUACAGGUGAGAAGGUUUCAGUGUAAUCUACCCCAACUUGUUGUGUAUAACCUUUGACCACCAACCUACACCCCAGCUUGUUGUGUAUAACCUUUGACCACCAGCCUAGCCUUGAACCUCUCCACACUCCCAUCAGCUUUGUGCUUGAUUUUGUACACCCACUUGCACCCAAUAGCUUUCUUCCCAUCAGGUAACAUGACCAUCUCCCAAGUGUCAUUAGCAUACAAAGCUUCAAACUCCUGUGUCAUGGCCUGCUGCCAGGCAGGGUGCAAUAUUGCUUCCUCAAAUGAAAUAGGCUCACAUUCAUGUGAAAUGGUUGUUACUAACUGCUGACUAUCAGAACAAAGACUGGUGAAACAUACAUGUUUAUGGGGAGAUAUAAAGGAAGUGAGGGAGUGCAGCUUAGGUAUAGUGUAGGUGUAUUCUUUUAGGUAAUUAGGAGUGUGUAUGGUUCUGGUUGUUCUUCUAGGUGCUGAUAUUGUAGGUACUGGUAAAGUAUCAUGAUGCAUGGUGGCAUUUGGAUCAGGUAAGGUAGGUUGAGUUGUAGUAGGUUGAGUUGUAGGUUCAUGUAGGACAGCAGGUGGUACUUCAUUCAUGUUGGUAUUACUGGUUACUUGAUUAUUAGUGACUUCAUGUGGUGUGAAAUUUUCCAGUUGAUCAUCAUUAGCAAAAAUGUUCAUUUUACCAGACAUACAAGGCAUGCUAGUGGUAUGAGUAAGCAUUUGCAGAAUGGAAUUGAAACUAGAACCAUCAGGGGCAAUAACAAAAGGAAAAAUAUUUUCUUGAAAAAUAACAUCUCUUGAUAUAUGAACUUUCUUGGUAGCUAAAUUCAAAACUUUGUAACCUUUUGUAUUGAAAGGGUAACCAACAAAAACAUGAGGUGUGGUUCUAGGUUCAAAUUUAUCUUUGUGAGUUUUCAAGGUAGUGGGGAAACAAAGACAACCAAAACUCUUAAGGUGGGAAUAUGUAGGUGAUUUAUGGUACAACAUUUCAUAUGGAGAUUUAUUCUGUAAAAGUUGAGUGGGCAGUCUAUUAAUCAGGUAUGUGGCAGUCAAUACACAUUCCCCCCAGUACCUCAUAGGCAACUUUGACUGAAACAAAAGUGCCCUUGCUGUUUCAAGUAGGUACUUAUGUUUCCUUUCUACCACCCCAUUUUGUUGAGGUGUAUAAGGACAAGUUCUUUGGUGUAUGAUACCUUGUUUUGGAAGAAAUUUGUGGCUUCAGCUGAAGUAAACUCUAACCCAUUGUCAGAUCUUAUGGCUUUUUAACUUGGUUUGGAAUUGGUUUUCUAUGAGAGAUAUGAAGGCUUUGAUAGUUUGGAGAGCAUUACUCUUACAUCUCAGCAAUUGUGUCCAAGUGGACCUACUGUGGUCAUCUACCAUAGUGAGGAAAUAAUGAUAUCCAUCAUGAGUGGGAACAUGAUAUGGUCCCCAUAGGUCAACAUGUAACAACUCAAACACUUUAGUGGUGGUGGUGAUACUUUCUGGAAAAGGCAUCCUAGUUUGCCUAGCCAUAGGGCAUAUAUUGCAAGUAAAAGGCUGUUUAGGAGAAAAAUGAACAGGUAUAGUUGAGAUAUUUUUCAUUUUUACAAAAGGUACAUGUCCUAAUCUAGCAUGCCACAAAAGUUCAUCAUCAUGAGUGUGAUUAGAGACAUUUGUAAAUGAAGGACAAGCAUGAGUAAAACAAGAGGAAGGAAAAACAGUACAAUCUGCCUUAUUCAUAGGAGAGUAUUUUACAGAAGAACCAGUGGACACAUUAGAAUCUGAAACCCUGCUAGUAUUGCCUAAAGAAGAGACAAGAGGACAAUUAACAUGAGGUGCUUUACUCUCAGCAGAUGGACAACAAUUGUGGCAUUUGUGACACAAGAAGUACAGGCCAUUCUUGGCUUUACCAAGUUCCAGAGGGCUCUUCAGAGAAGGGCCCUGCAGCAAACAAGAAGAUUUGUCAAAGCUGACUACACCAUUGAAUUGUAGUGCUAAACAAUGAACAGAAAUGAGAUUAAACUUGAAGCUAGGUACAAACAACACUUUGCUUAGAGUCAAAGCUGGAUUUAAACAAGCAUCACCAAUUUCAGUCACUUUAACCUUGUAACCAUUAGGGAGUGAAAUUAGAAAGGGAUAUGGAAGUGAAAUGAUGUUUGUGAGGGUGGUCUUAUCAUAGGUCAUAUGGUGUGAUGCUCCUGAAUCUAUGAUCCAAGAGCCAGCAGUCAGUUUAACACAUUUACAAGAAAGAUCACCUAUAUCAGUAAUAGAGGAAUAACAUGCAAGUAUACCUGCCAAGUUCACAGCUCCAUUCAGCAUGUUGUUUGAGUUGUCUGAGGCUCCAUUUCCAACUUGUAAAGUUCCCAGGAGAUUGAGUAGUUGUUCAUAUUGAUCUUUGGACAAGUUCAAUGGCAUUUGUCUCCUUACUUCAGGUUCCUCUUCAGAUUGAACUCCAUUCAUAUCAGGGGCACACACAUUUGCUGCAGCUUUUCCCUUUUUGAACCUUGGAUUUGGAUUGGAUGGGUAUCCAUGAAGCUUGUAACAUCUAUCCUUUGUGUGUCCUGAUUUCUUACAGUAGUCACAAAACAAAGAAGACUUGCCAGUGCUAGAAUUGCCUCUAAACCCAGUAUUACCAGAAUUGGUUCCACCUCCUCCAGAUGAACUGUAGUUUGUCCGGAAUCCCCUGUAUCCUGCACUGCUGUUGGUCUGUCCAUAAGCAUUGAGAGAGGUAGAAUCCAAGGCUGUAUGAUUAUGAGGCUUCACCUCCCUUUGUUUUUCCUCUUGGGAUAAUAUGGCAAAAGCUUGAGCCAUGCUUGGAAGUGUGUUCAUCAUGAGAAUGCUGCCUCUGACAGUCGUAUAUAUCUCAUUCAAUCCCAUUAGAAAAUGUAUCAAUCUUCUGUCUUGUUCAGCCUUGUGUAAUUUGCUUUUACCCCCACAAAUGCACACACAAGUACACUGAGAAUUGACAUCAAUGGUACUCAUUUCCUCCCACAACUUCUUCAUUCUUGUGUAAUAUCCAGUGAUGUCUAAAGUGCCUUGGACCAGAUCAUUAAUUUCCUUCUGCAGUUGAUACAAUUUACACCCAUUGGUUUGAUCGUACCUUUCUUCUAGUUCUCCCCAAAGCUCCUGAGCAUUAUUGACAUACUGCAGACUAUCACGCAAAUCUGGUGACAAGGAAUUCAGGAUCCAAGAUGUGACCAUAUCAUCACACCUUUCCCAUUGCUGAAAGCUAGGAUCAGUAGGAUCAGGUCUCACAACCUUCCCAUUAAUGAAUCCUGUCUUGCUCUUAACAGAUAAAGCCCUGAGAACUGCUCUUCUCCAGGAUCUGUAACCAGUUCCAUCAAAAACUGCAGGUAAUAGGGAUGAACUUGCAUUCUCAGAUGGAUGCAAGUAGAAAGGACUAGGGAUUUCUACCCUAACAGUGGAUGCAGAAGCAUUUGGAAUGGAAUCAUUUGAAGAAUCGACCAUUGUGAAUUGAAAAUUGGGAAGAAGAUCAAGUCGAGAACAACCAGAUCAAACAGCGUUCACAAACAAAAUUGACAGAUCGAAGAUCCAGUCGAGAUCAACCAGAUCAAAGAAAAAAUUCACAUAAGAGAAAACGAAGCUCACAGAUUGAAUUGGAAACAAAAAAAAACAGGAGCAAUUCCCUGUGCUUUGAUACCAUGAUGAAAUCAGCUACUGAUCAGUCAAGCUCCUCCAUUGAUGUAGCUUCAACUCACAUGAGAAAAGAUGAGAGAAGAAGAGAGAAGAGAAGAGAAGAAGAAUCUAGAAGAGCAACAUGAAAAUUAUCUCUCAUUGAAUGUGAAUUAAAGAAGUGAGUAUUACAAUGUAUCUGUAUAUAUACACAAUCACUAAGCAACUAAUAAUCAUUGGCAGAAAUUAACUAACUAACAAACUUGAUUCUAACUAACUCUACUGUACAUAACCGACUCUACUGUACAUAACUAACUAAUUAUACUUUAUAUUCUCAUCAAUAUCCCUUUUUUCAAAUUUCAUAGCUGAACUACUAGGUGUGCGAGUUCCUACCAGAACUAUUACCAACUAUUUAUCAAAACACACAUCAACUAUAUAUGAGUUGUUCCCUUUUACUAGUGGUGAAAAAUAGGUGGAUUUGGACGGGACUGAAAAUGGAUUGAGCAACAUGGUCGUAACUCACUUUAAUCUCUUAAAGCCAGAAAACUUUAAAGAGUUAAUUGAAAUAAACUUAAUGACUAUCCUACUUGAAGUAUCACCAUCGUUCAGGUAAGAAAAAGGAAGUAAAUCAAGGAAGACGAUGUCUUACAAAGCCUGAUGGAUAUGGACCUCGAUAGAACCUCCAUAGUUGUCUUGAAUGUCCUGUUGAAUCUGCUUUGCGGAAUUCCCAACAGAUUCUGGGCAGUUUCUUAUAUCAAUUAGAGCAAGUGUGGUUAUAUCUGCAAAAUCUUGAGGGAUUGAGUCCAAAAACCUGCAACUAUCAAGAAAUAGUCGUUCAAGGCACGGAAAGUGAUCACAACUAGCUCUCCAGUACUGAAUAUGUGAUCUUUUAAGUAACAAGAACUUCAAAAAAGGAAACCCUUCCUCAGCUACUUCCCACUCCCUGCCUCUGCAUACACCCUGUGUUAGUUCAAGAAGUUCAAGUUUGGGCAAUUUUCCGACAACAAUGCUUAAAUCCUUCCAUGACAAGAAGAAAUUUCCUGUAAAAGUUAAAUUCUUAAGGUUUCGUGGAAAAGCAUCUGGAGGAGGUAAGAUCAAAGAUGGAACAACUUCUACAACAAGUGGAUUCCUUGUCUGAAAACACAUUCUCCUCUCCAAAAAGUAAGCAUUAUUUUGAGGAGGAAGACAAAAUGCUAGUUCCUCGAGAUGAUCUAAGUAGCGAAAAUCAUAGAGGUCUUUGUGACUAUGGAAGUCUUGUGGGAUGCCACGUACUUGCAACUCCUUUAAAUUGGGAAAUAGUCUAAAGAAAGAUGCAGUACAAUAGCUAGGAUUCCAUCCAAACAGAGAAUGUAAAUUUUUCAUAACCAAACUUUUCUCUGUAAGCUCAUGAUAUCGCAAGUAAUUCCGAUCCAAAUGAAGGUGCCUCAACUGUGGCAUAGUCAAAAUUUCUGAUGGUAAUAUCAAAGCAUGUUUACGAAGAUUAAUAACGAGUGGAAGGUAAAGUACCAAACUUUGCAGAUAGCAUAGGUUUGAUAUGGAUGUAGGAAUGUCUACUCUUGAUGAGAGAACAUCUUCUUCGGAUCCUAGAUAUUGCUCAACGUUAGGAUAAAUACGCAAAGCUAGGUGUCUUAAGUGAAUCAAAUAAAGUAUUUCACGGGGAAAAGUUAGACAGAUAUUAUCAGCAAGAUCUAGAACUCUUACUAGCUUGAACGGCAAGUACUCCCUCAUGCAACAUCGGAAUCUACCAAAUAAGAUAACAGAAUGAGCUUCACUGUUAAGGCACCUAACAUACUCUUUCUUAUUAUGGAUGCUGAUUCGACCUCGACUCUUAGACAAACACUGCAUAGAUUUCACACAUGGAUUUUGAUCAUUCUUACUUCCGAGAACAUUCACAAAAUUCAUGUUACGAGCUUCCAUCAUACAGAGUUCACGAGUCGUAUCAUGAAUUCCACAACACUUAAUUUUUCCAUCAAAAGUAGUACUUUCUAUGGAAAUUAAACUUCUAUCAAUAAGAUCUUGUAGGUACUUUUCUGCCACUUCUUCUAUGCUUUUCAUCUCUUCUACCUUCAAAAAUCCCUCUGUUUCCCACAAUAUCAUAAGUUUAUUGACAAAAAUCAGUUUAUCCUCUGGGAAGAUUGCGAAAUAUAAAAAGCAUGGUUUUAGGUGGUGAGGCAAGUAAUGGUAACUCAUUGCCAACACCCUCAUGCAUUGGACACCAACAUCUGUGCUUACUGCUGAACUUACAUUUUCAGCAACACUUUGCCACUCACUCAAUGCUUUGUCAAUUUUAGUGAGAAGUCCCGCGAUCACAACAAUUGCUAGAGGCAAUCCUCCGCAUUUCAAUGCAAUUUGCUUUCCAAGUUGUUCAUAUUCAGGGGAGAAAGAGUCUUUCGUAAAGACUUUUUCAUACAAUAAACUCCAACUUUCGUCAAAAUUCAUGAGGCGCAUGUGAUAAGGAGGCUUACCUGAGCUAGCAUAUUCAGCCACUUCCACAUUCCGAGUAGUCAAGAGUAUUCGGCUUCCAUUAUGAAAGUCUGGGAAACAUAUUUGUAUAUCAUCCCAAGCUUUUGUAGUCCAUAUGUCAUCAAUGACUACCAAAUAUCUCUCACCUUUUAGAAGCUUUUGUAGUCGAUCUGCUAGUUGCCCGUCAUGUAGCUGAUCAUAAGGUUUAUCACUUAUACAAGAAAGAAGGUCUAGGAAAACAUUUCUCACACAAUACUCUUGUGAAACAGUAGCUUUAGCACGAAUGUCAAAACGAUACAUCAUGCAUGGAUCGUUGUAGAGUUUCGUAGCCAAAGUUGUCUUGCCAAUGCCUCCCAUACCUACAAUUGAUACAACUGCUAGUUCUCUUUCUCCUCUAGCAAGUUGAUCCAGCAUCAUCUUGAAUUCAUUUUCAUAGCCAACCAUUAUAUCCUCGGACCGCUCAACAGCACGUUCAGGUAUCUUGGAUAGACAAAAAUUUUGUGCUUUGAAAUCUUUAAAGUUGUUGUACCAGUCCCAUAUUGCCAACCACUGCAUCAUGAAGGAAUCAAUGCAUUCUACCUCUUGUUCCAAGGAACAACAGAGUUCCCAGAAAGCUUUGCUUCGUGUAAUUACAGUUUCUGCGGAAGAAACUUUUCUUGAUUUCGAAUCAACCAUGUCUUCUGCUUUGUAUGCUACCUCCGCGAUUUCAACUUCCAAGGUUGUUAACCCCUCAUGAUCUCCCGUUAUAUUGCAGGAUUUCUCCAUAAUAGCUCUCAAAGAUUCAAGCUUUUCAUAGAAUGGUUGCAAAUCACAUCCAGUAAGUUCCAUUGACUGGUGUAUGGUUCUCAUAAGGGAAGUAACAGCAGCAUAAGCCAUAUAUCCAAAAAAUAGGAAUCUCUCACACUCAGUAUGAAAAUGGACAAAUUAAUUGCCACAAGUUAUGUAAUCUUUCUUUUACUAACUAUUUCCAUCACAUUUCUAGCUAGGUCCACUAACAGGUAAAGUAGAAAGAUGUGAGGUCCCUAACCUUAUCAUCAUGUAGACAAAAGAAGAGACCAAAGUUUUUAAAAAAAAGACAGGAAAAAGUAGAAAAAUUUGUGAUCAUUCAUUAUUAGACCCUACACUAAUCUCUUUAGAAAAAUAAACUAAAAUUUUAGUUUAAAUAAAGGAGUUCAAGCUGUAUAUUGAUAACGCCCAAUUCAAAUUCAAGUGUAGUACGGUCUAGCAAUAAUAAACUCAACAAAUGUUGGGGUCGAGGAGUAUGCUUGUGUCAAGGUGACAGAGAAUGCGAAUUUGCGAAUUUCCUAAGCUUAUCUACAAAUAAAAGGUCUUUCUUUUAGCUAGGUCCAUAAUCCAUGUAGUGCUCUCUACUCUCUAGUCUCUAUCAACCAACUCAAGUUUAAGGGUGUGUUUGGUAUGGAGGAAACAUUUUCUCUAGAAUAGGGAGAGUUUUGUGCAUAAACAAAGAAGAAUAUCUCAGUAUAACAGUGAAUGUGUAUUUUUUUUAUGAUUUGCUUCAUUUGAGUAUGACUUUUGUAAGAAAAUUCUGGUAAAAGUUUAAAAAAUGAUCUUGUGGAAUAAGCACAGUGAAUUCCUUAAUAUUCGAGUAGAAAAAGCCAGGGAGGAUAACAUUGCUAUUUGUACACUUAUCGUGACACGAGUAGUCUCUUAAAUAUUACACCUUUCUACUGGUGUUGCUGGUGCCACUGAAUUUAGCCUUCCGUCUUCCUUUGCGAGGUAGAUUGAGGACUCCCAAGAAAGGAAACACAAGGUACUGGAGUCUGUUCCGGCCUCUACAGUAUGUAUGUACAUAAAAUUUGGAGUAACUAAAAAACCACUGACAAAUGGCUAUACGAAAGAUCAUAUACAAUUUAAUUACAAGCCAUUUGCAAUCAUCCUGCCCCUUUAUGCAGAAUCUUUUCAAAGAAAAUGAAAACAAACACUCACACAUUUGGCUUCUGAUUGACAUUUAUUUCAGAGAACUGGCUAGUCCUCAGAACACCUUAACUACUCGCUGCAGAAAAAAAAAGACGCAAAAAAUGGAAAAUAAUAUGUUAGAUGUCCCAUAAUUAAGGAACAGGAGAACAUUAUAGCAAGAAUGAGCAUGCAGGUAUAAGAACUUACACAUUAUUGCGGCAAGAAGCAACUUCUUUCUCAAAGUCAAUAUCAUCAUCUUCAUCUAUUGUUACACUACAUCGAAAAUGCUUGCUACAAAAGAUGAAAAAUGAAAUGUUACACUUCCCAAAAUCAAGAAUGAGCAUGCAAGUAUAACAACUUACACAAUAUUGGAAGGAUUCGAAUCAAUCACAAUGACAGCAUCAAGAACUUUUGUUGAAUUGGUGUAAUUUGACUUACUAAAGCUAUUAUCCAGAUUAUUAUCGAGUUUACUAUAAUGAUGAGUUAAAUAUUGUUGUAAAUCAAGGAAGAAGAUGUACUUACUAAAGAUUACGAGUAUGGACCUCGAUAGAGCUUCCAUAGUUGUCUUGAAUGUCCUGUUGAAUUUGCUUGGCGGAAUUCCCAACAGAUUGUUGACAGUAACUUAUAUCAAUAAGAGCUAGUGUGGUUAUAUCUGCAAAAUCUCGAGGGAUUGAAUCCAAAUAAUAGCAACUUCUAAGAAAAAGUCGUUCAAGGUACGGAAAGUGAUCACUACUAGCUCUCCAGUACCGAAUGCAUACUUCAUGCAGAAACAAGAACUUCAAGUGAGGAAACCCUUCCUCAACUACUUCCCACUCCUCGCCUAUGAAGGAUUUCCAUGAUAGUUUAAGGACCUCGAGUUUGGGUAAUUUACCAACAAUGCUCAAAUCCUUCCAUGCCAAAAAGAAUUCUCCGCUAAAAGUUAAACUCUUAAGGUUUUGUGGAAAAGCAUCCGGAGGAGGUAAGCGUAAAGUUGAAACAUCAGUUGGAGGUGCAGUUGCCCUGAAAGGUAAGAGUAAACUUGUAUAAAGUUGAACAACUAGCCACAUGAGUCCUACAUGACACAAUACACAUAAGACACCAACUAUUUCCAUCACAUUUCCAGCUAGGUCCACUAACAGGAUAAAGUAGAAAGAUGUGAGGUCACUAACCUUAUCAUCAUGUAGACAAAAGAAGAGACCAAAGUUAAAAAAAAAAAAGACAGGAAAAAGUAGAAAAAUUUGUGAUCAUACAUUAUUAGACCCUACACUAAUCUCUUUAGAAAAAUAAGUUUCAAUAAAGGAGUUCAAGCUGUAUAUUGAUAACGUCCAAUUCAAAUUCAAGUGUAGUACGGUCUAGCAAUAAUAAACUCAACAAAAGUUGGGGUCGAGGAGUACACUUGUGUCAAGGUGACAGAGAGUGUUCUGGCCUAUACAGUAUGUAUGUAUGUACAUAAAAUUUGGAGUAUCUAAAGAACCACUGACAAAUGGCUAUACGAAAGAUCAUAUACAAUUAAAUUACAAGCCAUUUGCAAUCAUCCUGCCACCUUAUGCAGAAAAAAUGAAAAUUCUGAUUUGACAUUUAUUUCAGAGAACUGGCUAGUCCUCAGAACACCUUAACUACUCGCUGCAGAGAAAAAAAAAAGACACAAAAAAUGGAAAAUAAUAUGUUAGAUGUCCCAUAAUUAAGGAACAAGAGAACAUUAUAGCAAGAAUGAGCAUGCAGGUAUAAGAACUUACACAUUAUUGCGGCAAGAAGCAACUUCUUUCUCAAAGUCAUCUUCAUCUGUUGUUAUAUCGAAAAUGCUUUCUACAAAAGAUGAAAAAUGAAAUGUUACACUUCCCAAAAUCAAGAAUGAACAUGCAAGUAUAACAAGUUACACAAUAUUGGAAGGAUUCAAAUCAAACACAAUGACAGCAUCAAGAACUUUUGUUGAAUUGGUGCAAUUGGACUUACUAAAGCUAUUAUCCAGAUUAUUAUCGAGUUUACUAUGAUGAUGAGUUAAAUAUUGUUGUAAAUCAAGGAAGAAGAUGUCUUACAAAAGAUGACGAGUAUGGACCUCGAUAGAGCUUCCAUAGUUGUCUUGAAUGUCCUGUUGAAUUUGCUUGGCGGAUUUCCCAACAGAUUGUCGACAGCUACUUAUAUCAAUAAGAGCUAGUGUGGUUAUAUCUGCAAAAUCUGGAGGGAUUGAAUCCAAAUCAUAGCAAUUUCUAAGAAAAAGUCGUUCAAGGUACGGAAAGUGAUCACUACUAGCUCUCCAGUACCGAAUGUAUAUGUUAUCCAGAAACAAGAACUUCAAGUGAGGAAACCCUUCCUCAACUACUUCCCACUCCUCGCCUAUGACGGCAUUGUCUGAUAGUUUAAGGACCUCGAGUUCGGGUAAUUUACCAACAAUGCUCAAAUCCUUCGAUGCCAAAAAGAAUUCUCCGCUAAAAGUUAAACUCUUAAGGUUUUGUGGAAAAGCAUCCGGAGGAGGUAAGAGUAAAGUUGGAACAUCAGCUGGAGGUGCAGCUUUCCCGAAUUGUGUCUUUUUGUACAAUAAUUUCGUCUGAAACCUCAGAGGAUCUUGCGGAGUAGAACCUGAAGGUGCAGUGCUUUCUAGAACGCAAGCAGCACCUGGAUAAUAAACACGAAAUGCCAAUUUCUCGAGCUGAUAUAAGUAGCGAAAAUCAUACAGGUCCUUGUGAUUGCGAAAGUCCUCUUGGACGCCAAAUACUUUCAACUUCUUUAAAUUGGGAAAUAGUCUAAAAAAAGACCCUGUACAAUUCCGAGGAUUCAAUUGAUUGAGACAUUGCAAACUUUUCAAAACCAAUCUGUUCUCUGUAGGCUCAUGACUCCGCAAGUAAUUCCAGCCCAUACGCAGCUUCCUCAAUUGUGGCAUCGUCAAAAUUUCCGAUGGUAAUAUGAAAGGAUAACUAUCGGUAAAUGGAAGGUAAAGUUUAAAAGUUUGCAGAUAGCAUAGGCAUGAUAUCGAUAGAGGAAUGUCUAUUAUUGAUGAGGGAACAGCUUCUAUCGAUCCUCGAUACUGCAGUAAGCAAGGAUUAAAACACAAAGAUAG